rnacentral:rRNA from 1 species
AUGAGUUUUAUCAAGGCCGGUGAAGCAUUUGCGCUUCAAGCUACCUCUGAGGCUCUGACUCCUUCGUUCACUGUUCAGCGAUAUACACUUGUAGAUUAUGGUGAAUUGUACUUACCUGCGCUUAUCUUUUGGUCUGAACAGAGCUUGGCAAUCCAGAGGGUGCUGGUCUCCGUCGGUGGACAUUCGAUGACCAAUGAAAAAAACAGAGGCAACCAAUUCAGAGAGGCCGCCCACCCAGCAAAACGCACAAAGAACCAACCUUUCUUAACCAGAGAAGAAGAAGGCUUGACCCAAUCUCAGCCGCCGUCCGUCCUUACCUGCCUAAUCCGGCAGGCCAGCGGCGGGCCAGACCUGAGACGACAUGGCCCUCCCGAGGGACAAGCAGGCGUCGGCGCUGUGCAGGCUGUCCAUGGCGAUGGCGACGCCCGGGCACCAAUCGUGAGGGAAGGAGCCAAGCGAACGAGAUGA